rnacentral:rRNA from 1 species
GGAGGAAAAGAAACUAACAAGGAUUCCCCUAGUAACGGCGAGUGAACCGGGAAGAGCUCAAAUUUGAAAUCUGGCGUCCUCAGGGCGUCCGAGUUGUAAUCUAUAGAGGCGUUUUCCGCGCCGGACCGUGUAUAAGUCUCCUGGAACGGAGUAUCAAAGAGGGUGACAAUCCCGUGCUUUACACGACGACCGGUGCUAUGUGAUACGUCUUCUACGAGUCGAGUUGUUUGGGAAUGCAGCUCAAAACGGGUGGUAAACUCCAUCUAAAGCUAAAUAUUGGUGGGAGACCGAUAGCGAACAAGUACCGUGAGGGAAAGAUGAAAAGCACUUUGGAAAGAGAGUUAAACAGUAUGUGAAAUUGUUGAAAGGGAAACGAUUGAAGUCAGUCGUGUCCAUUGGGUUCAGCCGGUCCUGCCGGUCUACUCCCUUUGGACGGGUCAACAUCAGUUCUGAUCGGCGGAUAAUGGCACGAGGAACGUGGCACCCUCCGGGGUGUGUUAUAGCCUCGCGUCGCAUACGCUGGUCGGGACUGAGGAACGCAGCUCGCCCUCACGGGCCGGGGUUCGCCCACGUCCGAGCUUAGGAUGUUGACAUAAUGGCUUUAAACGACCCGUCUUGA